rnacentral:lncRNA from 1 species
GUUUCAUUUCGAGAGGGCAGAGCAGCGCUGCUGUGACUCCGACACCACCUAACCCACUGUGACUCAUCAUCCUGCCCGCUGUACCUCCAACAUCCUCUGACAUCUCGUGACUCUAUGAGAACACGCCUUCCGCUGCACCUCCAGCAUCACCCCGCCCUGACCCCGACACCGGCCCGUGCAGCCGCUCAGCUCACACACAGAACUCUCGCAUCCUCGUGGAGCGGCCCCGCUGCCUCCUGCUCCGAGCGCGGCCCGAGCACAACUGCAGCUCCCAGAACAGAACAGGCAGAUCUCAGCUCCAAGAUCCAAUACUUCCACACCAUGGCAAAAGGAAACCAACAACCAAAUUCUCCACAAGAGAAAGCAGUGCUGUUCUCCCCAGAAGACGAAAACCAACAAUCCAAACGGGGCUGUAAAUGGAAUGUGGACAGAAGGAAAAGCCACCGCCUGCUCUGUGUGGGUUUGUGUGCAGUGCCAUGGAUCCUUGUCACAGUGCUGCUGGUAGUCCUGAUAGGUGAGUGCCACCUGCAUCCCCACGGCGAUGAAACCUCUACUGUGGGUGUAGGACGGGGGACGAUGGGGUUCCCAGCGCCCUGAGCUGCUCCCCAAGCACAGCCCCGAUCCCAGCUCCUGGGGCGCCCACGCGCUGCCCUAAACCACGUUC